rnacentral:rRNA from 1 species
UCGAGCGGUAGAGAGGUGCUUGCACCUCUUGAGAGCGGCGGACGGGUGAGUAAUGCCUAGGAAUCUGCCUGGUAGUGGGGGAUAACGCUCGGAAACGGACGCUAAUACCGCAUACGUCCUACGGGAGAAAGCAGGGGACCUUCGGGCCUUGCGCUAUCAGAUGAGCCUAGGUCGGAUUAGCUAGUUGGUGAGGUAAUGGCUCACCAAGGCGACGAUCCGUAACUGGUCUGAGAGGAUGAUCAGUCACACUGGAACUGAGACACGGUCCAGACUCCUACGGGAGGCAGCAGUGGGGAAUAUUGGACAAUGGGCGAAAGCCUGAUCCAGCCAUGCCGCGUGUGUGAAGAAGGUCUUCGGAUUGUAAAGCACUUUAAGUUGGGAGGAAGGGCAUUAACCUAAUACGUUAGUGUUUUGACGUUACCGACAGAAUAAGCACCGGCUAACUCUGUGCCAGCAGCCGCGGUAAUACAGAGGGUGCAAGCGUUAAUCGGAAUUACUGGGCGUAAAGCGCGCGUAGGUGGUUCGUUAAGUUGGAUGUGAAAUCCCCGGGCUCAACCUGGGAACUGCAUUCAAAACUGUCGAGCUAGAGUAUGGUAGAGGGUGGGUGGAAUUUCCUGUGUAGCGGUGAAAUGCGUAGAUAUAGGAAGGAACACCAGUGGCGAAGGCGACCACCUGGACUGAUACUGACACUGAGGUGCGAAAGCGUGGGGAGCAAACAGGAUUAGAUACCCUGGUAGUCCACGCCGUAAACGAUGUCAACUAGCCGUUGGGAGCCUUGAGCUCUUAGUGGCGCAGCUAACGCAUUAAGUUGACCGCCUGGGGGAGUACGGCCGCAAGGUUAAAACUCAAAUGAAUUGACGGGGGCCCGCACAAGCGGUGG